UGGGGAAUAUUGCACAAUGGGCGCAAGCCUGAUGCAGCGACGCCGCGUGUGGGAUGAAGGGGCUACGCCUCGUAAACCACUGUAGCCCGGGACGAAAAACGCCUUAGAGGCGUUAGACGGUACCGGGAAAGUAAGGGUCGGCUAACUACGUGCCAGCAGCCGCGGUAAUACGUAGGGGGCAAGCGUUGUCCGGAUUUACUGGGUGUAAAGGGUGCUCAGGCGGAUUUGUAAGUCAGAGGUGAAAUCUUACAGCUUAACUGUGAAACUGCCUUUGAUACUGCAAGCCUAGAGUAUGGAAGAGAGUGAUGGAAUAUCUGGUGUAGCAGUGAAAUGCGUAGAUAUCAGAUAGAACACCAAUGGCGAAGGCAGUCACUUGGUCCAUUACUGACGCUAAAGCACGAAAGCGUGGGUAGCAAACA
rnacentral:rRNA from 1 species